rnacentral:rRNA from 1 species
GUGAGGAAUUUUCCGCAAUGGGCGAAAGCCUGACGGAGCAAUGCCGCGUGAAGGAUGAAGGCCUAUGGGUUGUAAACUUCUUUUCUCAGAAAAGAAUUAUGACGGUAUCUGAGGAAUAAGCAUCGGCUAACUCUGUGCCAGCAGCCGCGGUAAGACAGAGGAUGCAAGCGUUAUCCGGAAUGAUUCGGCGUAAAGCGUCUGUAGGUUGUUUAAAAAGUAUUCUGUCAAAGAUUAGGGCUUAACCCUAGAUAGGCAGAAUAAACUUUUAAGCUAGAGUUUGGUAGAGGCAGAGGGAAUUCCCGGUGGAGCGGUGAAAUGCGUAGAUAUCGGGAGGAACACCAAAGGCGAAGGCACUCUGCUGGGCCAAUACUAACACUGAGAGACGAAAGCGAGGGGAGCAAAUGGGAUUAGAUACCCGAGUAGUCC